CCGAGUUUACAACUCCCAAACCCAAUGUGAACGUUACCAAUCUGUUGCCUCGGCGGGAUUCUCUGCCCCGGGCGCGUCGCAGCCCCGGAUCCCAUGGCGCCCGCCGGAGGACCAACUCAAACUCUUUUUUCUCUCCGUCGCGGCCUACGUCGCGGCUCUGUUUUAUUUUUGCUCUGAGCCUUUCUCGGCGACCCUAGCGGGCGUCUCGAAAAUGAAUCAAAACUUUCAACAACGGAUCUCUUGGUUCUGGCAUCGAUGAAGAACGCAGCGAAAUGCGAUAAGUAAUGUGAAUUGCAGAAUUCAGUGAAUCAUCGAAUCUUUGAACGCACAUUGCGCCCGCCAGUAUUCUGGCGGGCAUGCCUGUCCGAGCGUCAUUUCAACCCUCGAACCCCUCCGGGGGGUCGCGUUGGGGGAUCGGCCCCUCACCGGGCCGCCCCCGAAAUACAGUGGCGGUCUCGCCGCAGCCUCUCCUGCGCAGUAGUUUGCACACUCGCACCGGGAGCGCGGCGCGGCCACAGCCGUAAAACACCCCAAACUCUGAAAUGUUGACCUCGGAUCAGGUAGGAAUACCCGCUGAACUUAAGCAUAUCAAUAA
rnacentral:rRNA from 1 species